AUGAACUCUGGCGGCGUGCCUCAUACAUGCCAGUCGCGCGAACAGACGAGGAGCUUGCUCCUCUGACGUUAGCGGCGGACGGGUGAGUAACACGUGGAUAACCUACCUAUAAGACUGGGAUAACUUCGGGAAACCGGAGCUAAUACCGGAUAAUAUAUUGAACCGCAUGGUUCAAUAGUGAAAGACGGUUUUGCUGUCACUUAUAGAUGGAUCCGCGCCGCAUUAGCUAGUUGGUAAGGUAACGGCUUACUAAGGCAACGAUGCGUAGCCGACCUGAGAGGGUGAUCGGCCACACUGGAACUGAGACACGGUCCAGACUCCUACGGGAGGCAGCAGUAGGGAAUCUUCCGCAAUGGGCGAAAGCUUGACGGAGCAACGCCGCGUGAGUGAUGAAGGUCUUCGGAUCGUAAAACUCUGUUAUUAGGGAAGAACAAAUGUGUAAGUAACUAUGCACGUCUUGACGGUACCUAAUCAGAAAGCUACGGCUAACUACGUG
rnacentral:rRNA from 1 species